rnacentral:rRNA from 1 species
UAUGGAGGGUGCAAGCGUUAUUCGGAAUUACUGGGCGUAAAGCGUGCGCAGGCGGUUUUGUAAGUCUGAUGUGAAAUCCCCGGGCUCAACCUGGGAAUUGCGUUGGAGACUGCAAGGCUAGAAUCUGGCAGAGGGGGGUAGAAUUCCACGUGUAGCAGUGAAAUGCGUAGAGAUGUGGAGGAACACCGAUGGCGAAGGCAGCCCCCUGGGUCAAGAUUGACGCUCAUGCACGAAAGCGUGGGGAGCAAACAGG